CAGUGGUACAGAUUUGCAGAAAAUCUAUAUAAAUUUAAAGUAAAUGUCCACCCCUGCUCAUUAACUCCAUAAUAUAUCUUCUUGGGGGGGCUCAAAUCCUCUCGUUUUCAUGCAGCCAAACUUCUGGCAGUCUGCGGCCACCACUAGGGGGAGCUCUUACCGACUGAUUUUAUAUAUCUACCAUUAAAAUGUCUCCCCUGACCCGGUCUCACAGCGGCUGUGAAUGGAGAGGUGGCUAAACGAAAGGAGGAAGGGAAUUCUGGACCCUACAAAGAUAUUUACAGAAGGACAUAAGGUGGUCAUAUACGACCAGACAGGACAAUCAUUAACGACCUGAAUUUACUACUAUGGUAACUGAUUCGACCACUGCCGUUUUAUUCAUAACACUCCAGUCUUUUGGAGGACAUGUUGCCUCGGGUAUGGCCGGCGCCAUUAAUUGCCCCCAAAUACUGACAUCCUAGAAGAGAACACUGUCCAGUGCCAUAGAACAUCUACCGCCCUGUAUAAUACACUCAUGAUUACAGUGAUGGAUUUGUACCAGUUUCUUAAAGGAAACCUACGGGGGGGUAGGGAUGGAUUUAGCUCUUCACAAAUGACCCUCCUCUUCUGUGAGCCAUCUCAGCCAAUAAGCAGGGCCAAAGGAAGUCACGUGACCCUUACAGGUCUGACUCCUAAUAGACAGGAGGAGUUUGGCUCCUAAUGGGCGGGGCUAAUUUUUGAUUGGCACUUAGAGGGGUCAGAGGGCAAUUGAUCUCCCCCCAAUCAUCGGUGUAGAAUUAGCUAGUUAGGUGUAAUAUGGUAUAAUAUAUUUAUAGUCGAUUCUAUUGUGUAAAACUCUUAAAGGAGCCUUCCACUACAACUGGCAACAUUCCUUUAAUCCGAUAUUUGAUUAAACCAUUUCCGCCAACGAAUCCAGACGCGACCCUCUAAUAAACAUUCAGGAUGGGGUCCCUUCUAUGAUGCACCCUGAACUGGGACAGACUGCACACCAAAAAGCUACAAACAUGCCCCUCCCCCCCAUGCUUUGUGUAGGACCCCUUUAAGUUACCAGCAGACACUGACAUUUCUCCUUUUAUUUCCAAUAAAUCUACCGCAAUUUACGUUUUACUUUUUUCUACCCACCAUUACAGAACACCUACACUGUCCCCCUACAACGACAUUCACGGUUCAUCAUCAUAUGUACCGCCAUCAUUUCAACAGUUUUCAACACUCUUUUGCUUUGUCACUGAUCCCCAGCAAUGAAUAGAAUGCCAGAGACAGUGAAAACUGACACACAGGCAGUGGAGAGAAGUGAUAACUCUUUAUUCCUUUGGUUAGUGAUUGUCCCCCAUGUUAGAGGCCCAUAUAUACUGCAGAAGUAAUAACAGGACACCGGGAGCUUAUAGAGAGAGGUUAUAUUUAGGAUUUAUUUUUUUACAUUUUUGGGAAAAUCAAUUAAUUUAAUUCCUAAAUUUAGGAAUGAAAGGGGAAACAAAAAAAAAAACAAAAACACCUUCUUGCUGUGCCCACAUAAUGUAUUGCUUUAUCCCCGAUCCCUUUAAACGCAACACCUUGAUUUUUAUUAACCCAUGUACCUUUGCAAAAGUUUGUGCGUACGUCUACAGUACCUUUCCAGCUGGGAGAAUCUGAACAGGUGAAAUGCAAGAAUUUAUUGCUAUUAUGUCACUGCCUGUUCCCAGGACCAAUGGCAAAUUCUGCCAGGCCGUCCCAUUAUAGACACAGUCACCUCCGCGGACAUACAACCCCCCCCAAAAAAAAAAAUGUCCGCCAGUGUGAAGGGAAUCAUCAGCUUCCUGAUAUUACAUACAUGCAAUUUACCAAUGACCUAUUAUAAAAGGUAAGUGUCCCUCUCGAGGUCAAUUUCACUGGAAGCUGAUAAACUUACCAAGAUGUAUGUUUCUGAUGGUUUUGGGGUGGGGGGGGGGGGGGGGGGGGGGGGAAUAUACUUGAAGGAAAUUCCUAAGAACAUGCAAAGAACAUACAAACUACUUGUAGGUGCCCAUGGGUGGACUUGAAUCCACACCCAUAGCACUGCAGUAAAGUUCUAGCUACCGGUUUUGACUAAUUUCACCAUCAUACCUUAUGCUCCAGUUACAUCGAGAGCUGUGAUAGGUUCUGUCUGCACCUCCCCACUGCAGAAGCCUGUUGGGAGUUGUCGUUUUGCAGCACAAAUCACUGCUCUACACUAAGGGGUCACCCAGAGGGAUUAUAUAUAUAUAUAUAUAUAUAUAUAUAUAUAUAUAUAUAUCAGAAUGGGUUACAAA